CUGCGAAUGGCUCAUUAUAUCAGUUAUAGUUUAUUUGAUGAAGAAUACUAAUUGGAUAACCGUAGUAAUUCUAGAGCUAAUACAUGUAUAAAGUCUUGUAGACUGCAUUUAUUAGAAUGAAAACCAUAGGUUUCGGCCUAUUCGUGAGUAAUAAUAACUAAUCAUAUCGUAUGCUUAUGUAACGAUGUGUCUUUCAAGUUUCUGCCCUAUCAGCUUUCGAUGGUAGUGUAUUGGACUACCAUG
rnacentral:rRNA from 1 species